GAGGAGUGUAGAGCAGAGCUUUGCUCAGGACUCUUACAGUGGAGAUCAGUCUCCGCAUGUAUGGACGCUCUUUAUGGCCCUGGUGCCCUGCACGCUUUGCUGUGAGGAUCACCACAGCCACGGCCACAACAGUGCCAGUCUUGGUUUAUUUCAACUCGGAGAGUGCGAGUCACCCGGACUUAAUUAACCUUUCCAUAAUGCCUGUCUGGAGAUAAUCUCAAAUAAGAAGACUUGGAUGCUUUGAGAAAGAUAAAAAAAACAACAACAACAUGCCACUCAACUGCUACUGACUACCC